CAGUAGCCGCGGUAAUACGUAGGGCGCGAGCGUUAAUCGGAAUUACUGGGCGUAAAGCGUGCGCAGGCGGUUGUGUAAGACAGGUGUGAAAUCCCCGGGCUUAACCUGGGAACUGCGCUUGUGACUGCACAGCUAGAGUAUGGCAGAGGGGGGUGGAAUUCCACGUGUAGCAGUGAAAUGCGUAGAGAUGUGGAGGAACACCGAUGGCGAAGGCAGCCCCCUGGGCCAAUACUGACGCUCAUGCACGAAAGCGUGGGGAGCAAACAGGAUUAGAUACCCCCGUAGUCCCUGUCUCUUAUAC
rnacentral:rRNA from 1 species